GGGGAGGGGCCGCGCGGUUGUGUUUACCGCUCGAAACCGCAAUGGUCGCUAGGCAAGUUCCUAUCCGACUGCUGCUGCUACCAAAAGAAAAGCAAGACUAACAGCUGGGUAGUAUUUUUAAAUCCAUCCCGCCAGCAGCUGAAGUUGUAUACAAAUGAGUGAUUUUUUUUUAAGACUUUAAAAAUAGGCAAGGUGAGAGAGGGUGGAGUGGGACGGGGAGGAAAUUGUGAGAAGGGGGUGUCCCAGAAGGGAACGGAGAGCGGGGUGGAAAGUGAAUAAAUAAUAAUGAAUAAAAAAUGAAUAGCUCCAUGGUCAA
rnacentral:lncRNA from 1 species